UACGUAGGGGGCUAGCGUUGUCCGGAAUCAUUGGGCGUAAAGCGCGUGUAGGCGGUCCGGUAAGUCCGCUGUGAAAGUCGGGGGCUCAACCCUCGGAUGCCGAUCGAUACUGUCGGGCUAGAGUCCGGAAGAGGCGAGUGGAAUUCCUGGUGUAGCGGUGAAAUGCGCAGAUAUCAGGAGGAACACCAGCGGCGAAGGCGGCGCUCUGGGCCGGUACUGACGCUGAGGAGCGAAAGCGUGGGGAGCAAACAGG
rnacentral:rRNA from 1 species